GACGGAGGGCGCUAGCGUUGUUCGGAAUCACUGGGCGUAAAGGGCGCGUAGGCGGCCAUGUAAGUCGGGGGUGAAAGCCCGGGGCUCAACCCCGGAACGGCCUUCGAGACUGCGUGGCUGGAGACCGGAAGAGGAGGGUGGAAUACCCAGUGUAGAGGUGAAAUUCGUAGAGAUUGGGUGGAACACCAGUGGCGAAAGCGGCUCUCUGGUCCGGAGCUGACGCUGAGGCGCGAAAGAGUGGGGAGCAAACAGG
rnacentral:rRNA from 1 species